rnacentral:lncRNA from 1 species
UUGAACUUCAAUUUUCUACGUAUGAAAUUGGAUUGGGCAAGUAAUGGGGGUGUUCAUACAGUCUGGUUAGUGUCUUGCCUUGGUGUUCAUACAGUCUGGUUAGUGUCUUGCCUUGCUUGUUCAUUAAAUGUGGAACUUCAAUUGUCUGCCGGCAAUGUUGCACUGUUGGAUGAAUGAUCAUUUCGAAUUACUGGGAUUUGAACAUGAGAUCUCAUGGCUCUCAACCACUUCAUUGACCACUAGUCCACACCCUUGGGUGCCCUUUCAAUUUCUUCAGCAAGUGUGUGGGAAUUAUUGAGGAUAAUGGAGUGGUUGGGGUAGUAGUUUUCUUACGUCAUUAAUUUUUGAGCAAUUUGAAAGAUUAGGAUAGGCAGCCGCUAAUGCUUGCAUUUGGGUAGGCUGUCUGCAUCACACCCUUGAGGUGCGGCCCUUCUCCAGACUCUGCAUGGAUGCAGGAGGCUUUGUGUGCUGGGCUGCCGAGGAUAAACCUGUCAAUUAUUACCUUGUUAAUUGCAAAUUGCGGUGAUUUAUUCUUUUAGAACGUGAAGUUAUUGAUAAAUUACUAACCUUGUGUUAUGCCAUUUUGUGACUAUUUAGACUGUCAAAUCUUGUCUAG